GAUCCUGCCGGACCCUACUGCUAUCGGGAUGAGACUAAGCCAUGCGAGUCGUGCGCUCUCUAGCCAUGUUGAGAGCGCGGCGAACGGCUCAGUAACACGUAGAUAACCUACCCUUAGGAUGAGGACAACCCCGGGAAACUGGGAUUAAUACUCAAUAGGAGGAGGGCUCUGGAAUGACUCUCCACCGAAAAGUUACUAAGAACAUGCUCUUAAUAAUGCCUAGGAUGGGUCUGCGUCUGAUCAGGUUGUUGGUGGGGUAACGGCCCACCAAGCCUACAACCAGUACGGGCCCUGAGAGGGGGAGCCCGGAGAUGGGAACUGAGACAAGGUCCCAGGUCCUACGGGGCGCAGCAGGCGCGAAAACUCCACAAUGCACAAACGUGUGAUGGGGUUAUCCCGAGUGCCGUCCGUUGAGGAUGGCUUUUACUCAGUGUAAGGAACUGGGGGAAUAAAGGGGGGGCAAGUCUGGUGUCAGCCGCCGCGGUAAUACCAGCCCCCUGAGUGGUAGGGACGAUUAUUUGGCCUAAAGCGUCCGUAGCCGACCCGGUAAGUCUUUCGUUAAAUCUAACGAUUCAAUCGUUAGACCGCGGAAGAUACUGUCGGGGUAGAGGAUGGGAGAGGUCGACGGUAGUCCUGGUGUAGGGGUGAAAUCCUAUAAUCCCAGGAGGACCACCAGUGGCGAAGGCGGUCGACUAGAACAUGCCUGACGGUGAUGGACGAAAGCUGGGGGAGCGAACCGGAUUAGACACCCGGGUAGUCCCAGCUGUAAACGAUGCGGGCUAGGUGUUGGAACAGCCACGAGCUGCUCCAGUGCCGCAGAAAAGUUGUUAAGCCCGCCGCCUGGGAAGUACGGCCGCAAGGCUGAAACUUAAAGGAAUUGGCGGGGGAGCACCACAAGGGGUGAAGGCUGCGGUUCAAUUGGAGUCAACGCCGGG
rnacentral:rRNA from 1 species